rnacentral:tRNA from 15 species
GUCUACGUAGCUUAACCCCCAAAGCAAGACACUGAAAAUGCCUAGAUGGAUUCACACAUCCCAUAGACA